GGGAAGGCAACGGGGUUUGGUCCCCUUUUUUGGGGGUUCGAAUCCUUCCGUCCCMGA
rnacentral:tRNA from 1 species